GGGACAUUAUCACGUCCGUAUGCUGCUCUCCAGGACUGAGAAAAAAUAGAGGAGUGAAUGUCAUGACUUAAACAAUACAAACAUGUGCACUGAGUUCUUCCAAGGAGACUUCACAUGUGGGAAACAUAAGUGAGAGUUUUGUAUGAUCCCCUGUGUGAUCCCACAUCACAUGUCCAUGGACAAGUGGAAGGUGAAACGAGGCAGAAUGGCAUGCCAUUAUCCAGAUAAACAACAGAGAACCAACUUCAGGAUUCUAGCAGUACACAGGUACCAUUGCAGUGGUGACCAGACCAAACAAGACAGCAAGUAUUGCUUGGAGGGACCCAGGUGUCGGUCGUCAACCUUCUCUAGCCUACUGUACCACAAAGAGUAUAAAUGGCCACAUGUAAAAAGGAAAAUAAAAUGUAUAUGUUCUCAUUCUUCUGCUACUGUGCUAAACCAUUAAAUCAUAAUUAAGGGUG